GUUUGAUCCUGGCUCAGGAUGAACGCUAGCGGCAGGCUUAACACAUGCAAGUCGAGGGGCAGCAUAAUGAAGUAGCAAUACUGAGUUGAUGGCGACCGGCGCACGGGUGCGUAACGCGUAUGUAACCUACCUCUAACAAGGGGAUAACACUGAGAAAUUGGUACUAAUACCCUAUAACACUUAGGAAGGCAUCUUCUUGGGUUGAAAGUUCCGGCGGUUAGAGAUGGACAUGUGUUGUAUUAGCUAGAUGGUGAGGUAACGGCUCACCAUGGCGACGAUACAUAGGGGGACUGAGAGGUUAACCCCCCACACUGGUACUGAGACACGGACCAGACUCCUACGGGAGGCAGCAGUGAGGAAUAUUGGUCAAUGGACGCAAGUCUGAACCAGCCAUGCCGCGUGCAGGAUGACGGCUCUAUGAGUUGUAAACUGCUUUUGUACAAGGGUAAACCCCGGUACGUGUACCGGGCUGAAAGUACUGUACGAAUAAGGAUCGGCUAACUCCGUGCCAGCAGCCGCGGUAAUACGGAGGAUCCAAGCGUUAUCCGGAUUUAUUGGGUUUAAAGGGUGCGUAGGCGGUCUGGUAAGUCAGCGGUGAAAUUUAGGGGCUCAACCUCUACCGUGCCGUUGAUACU
rnacentral:rRNA from 1 species